rnacentral:rRNA from 1 species
GACGAACGCUGGCGGCGUGCUUAACACAUGCAAGUCGAACGGAAAGGCCCUGCUUUUGUGGGGUGCUCGAUUGGCGAACGGGUGAGUAACACGUGAGUAAACUGCCCUUGACUUUGUGAUAACUUCAGGAAACUGGGGCUAAUACCGCAUAGGAUCUCCUGCUGCAUGGUGGGGGUUGGAAAGUUUCGGCGGUUGUGGAUGGACUCGCGGCUUAUCAGCUGGUUGGUGGGGUAGUGGCUUACCAAGGCUAUGACGGGUAGCCGGCAUGAGAGGGUGACCGGGCACAUUGGGACUGAGAUACGGACCAGACUCCUACGGGAGGCAGCAGUGGGGAAUAUUGCACAAUGGGCGGAAGCGUGAUGCAGCAACGCCGGGUGCGGGAUGACGGCUUUCGGGUUGUAAACAGCUUUCGCCUGAGACGAAGCGUGAGUGACGGUAAUGGGUAAAGAAGCACCGGCUAACUACGUG